rnacentral:rRNA from 1 species
GACGAACGCUGGCGGCGUGCUUAACACAUGCAAGUCGAACGGAAAGGCCCUGCUUUUUUGGGGUGCUCGAGUGGCGAACGGGUGAGUAACACGUGAGUAACCUGCCCUUGACUUUGGGAUAACUUCAGGAAACUGGGGCUAAUACCGGAUAGGAGCUCCUGCUGCAUGGUGGGGGUUGGAAAGUUUCGGCGGUUGGGGUUGGACUCGCGGCUUAUCAGCUUGUUGGUGGGGUAGUGGCUUACCAAGGCUUUGACGGGUAGCCGGCAUGAGAGGGUGACCGGCCACAUUGGGACUGAGAUACGGCGCAGACUCCUACGGGAGGCAGCAGUGGGGAAUAUUACACAAUGGGCGGAAGCCUGAUGCAGCAACGCCGCGUGCGGGAUGCCGGCCUUCGGGUUGUAAACCGCUUUCGCCUGUGACGAAGCGUGAGUGACGGUAAUGGGUAAAGAAGCACCGGCUAACUACGUG